rnacentral:rRNA from 1 species
GAUGAACGCUAGCGGCAGGCUUAACACAUGCAAGUCGAGGGGUAUAGUUUUUCGGAACUAGAGACCGGCGCACGGGUGCGUAACGCGUAUGCAAUCUACCUUUUGCAGAGGGAUAGCCCAGAGAAAUUUGGAUUAAUACCUCAUAGUAUAGCGACAUCGCAUGAUGAUGCUAUUAAAGUCACAACGGCAAAAGAUGAGCAUGCGUCCCAUUAGCUAGUUGGUAAGGUAACGGCUUACCAAGGCAACGAUGGGUAGGGGUCCUGAGAGGGAGAUCCCCCACACUGGUACUGAGACACGGACCAGACUCCUACGGGAGGCAGCAGUGAGGAAUAUUGGACAAUGGGCGCAAGCCUGAUCCAGCCAUGCCGCGUGCAGGAUGACGGUCCUAUGGAUUGUAAACUGCUUUUAUACGAGAAGAAACACUCCAACGUGUUGGAGCUUGACGGUAUCGUAAGAAUAAGGAUCGGCUAACUCCGUGCCAG